rnacentral:rRNA from 1 species
GUGGGGAAUUUUGGACAAUGGGCGCAAGCCUGAUCCAGCAAUGCCGCGUGUGUGAAGAAGGCCUUCGGGUUGUAAAGCACUUUUGUCCGGAAAGAAAUCUCCUGGGUUAAUACCUCGGGGGGAUGACGGUACCGGAAGAAUAAGCACCGGAUAACUACGUGCCAGCAGCCGCGGUAAUACGUAGGGUGCGAGCGUUAAUCGGAAUUACUGGGAGUAAAGCGUGCGCAGGCGGCUAUGCAAGACAGAUGUGAAAUCCCCGGGCUCAACCUGGGAACUGCAUUUGUGACUGCAUGGCUAGAGUGCGUCAGAGGGAGGUGGAAUUCCGCGUGUAGCAGUGAAAUGCGUCGAGAUGCGGAUGAACACCGAUGGCGAAGGCAGCCUCCUGGGAUGACACUGACGCUCAUGCACGAAAGCGUGGGGAGCAAACAGGAUUAGAAACCCUUGUAGUCC